UACGUAGGGGGGCGAGCGUUUAUCCGGAUUUACUGGGCGUAAAGCGCGUUAAGGCGGUUGGCAAAGUUGGUUGUGAAAAUCUCAGGGCUCAACCCUGAAAUUGCGACCAAUACUGGUCGACUAGAGUGUGAGAGAGGAAGGUGGAAUUCCCGGUGUAGUAGUGAAAUGCGUAGAUAUCGGGAGGAACACCAGUGGCGAAGGCGGCCUUCUGGCUCAUAACUGACGCUGUAGCGCGAAAGCGUGGGGAGCGAACCGG
rnacentral:rRNA from 1 species